rnacentral:rRNA from 1 species
AGGGCGAACGCUGGCGGCGUGCUUAACACAUGCAAGUCGAACGGUGAAGGAGAGCUUGCUCUCUGGAUCAGUGGCGAACGGGUGAGUAACACGUGAGUAACCUGCCCUUGACUCUGGGAUAAGCACUGGAAACGGUGUCUAAUACCGGAUACGACCUACGAAGGCAUCUUCUGUAGGUGGAAAGAAUUUUGGUCAAGGAUGGACUCGCGGCCUAUCAGCUAGUUGGUGAGGUAAUGGCCCACCAAGGCGACGACGGGUAGCCGGCCUGAGAGGGUGACCGGCCACACUGGGACUGAGACACGGCCCAGACUCCUACGGGAGGCAGCAGUGGGGAAUAUUGCACAAUGGGCGCAAGCCUGAUGCAGCAACGCCGCGUGAGGGACGACGGCCUUCGGUUGUAAACCUCUUUUAGUAGGAAGAAGCGAAAGUGACGUACUGCAGAAAAGCACGCUAACUACGUGCCAGCAGCCGC